rnacentral:rRNA from 1 species
UACGGAGGGUGCAAGCGUUAUCCGGAUUCACUGGGUUUAAAGGGUGCGUAGGUGGGCAGGUAAGUCAGUGGUGAAAUCUCCGAGCUUAACUCGGAAACUGCCAUUGAUACUAUCUGUCUUGAAUUAUCUGGAGGUGAGCGGAAUAUGUCAUGUAGCGGUGAAAUGCUUAGAUAUGACAUAGAACACCAAUUGCGAAGGCAGCUCACUACGGAUAUAUUGACACUGAGGCACGAAAGCGUGUGGAUCAAACAGG